rnacentral:rRNA from 1 species
UAGGGAAUCUUCCACAAUGGACGCAAGUCUGAUGGAGCAACGCCGCGUGAGUGAAGAAGAUCUUCGGAUCGUAAAACUCUGUUGUUAGAGAAGAACACGAAUGAGAGUAACUGUUCAUUCGAUGACGGUAUCUAACCAGCAAGUCACGGCUAACUACGUGCCA